GUAACGGCGAGUGAAGCGGCAACAGCUCAAAUUUGAAAUCUGGUCCUUUCAGGGCCCGAGUUGUAAUUUGCAGAGGAUGCUUCGGGUACGGGUGCCUACUGAGUUCCCUGGAACGGGACGCCAUAGAGGGUGAGAGCCCCGUCUAGUAGGAUACCCAGCCCAUGUGAAGCUCCCUCGACGAGUCGAGUAGUUUGGGAAUGCUGCUCUAAUGGGAGGUAUACUCCUUCCAAGGCUAAAUACCGGCUGGAGACCGAUAGCGCACAAGUAGAGUGAUCGAAAGAUGAAAAGCACUUUGAAAAGAGAGUCAAAUAGCACGUGAAAUUGUUGAAAGGGAAGCGCUCGCUACCAGACUUGGGUACGCGGUUCAACCGGGGCCACGCCCCGGGGCACUCCACCUGCUCAGGCCAGCAUCAGCUUUCCGUCGGGGGCAAAGGCGUCGGGAAUGUGGCUCUCCUCCGGGAGAGUGUUAUAGCCCGGCGUGUCAUACCCUUCGGGGGGCUGAGGUACGCGCUUCUGCAAGGAUGCUGGCGUAAUGGUAGCUAGUGACCCGUCUUGAAACACGGACCAAGGAGUCAACCUUAUGUGCGAGUGCCCGGGCGUAAAACCCCAGCGCGGAAUGAAAGUGAACGUAGGUGAGAGCUUCGGCGCAUCACCGACCGAUCCUGAUGUCCUCGGACGGAUUUGAGUGAGAGCAUAUAGGGUUGGACCCGAAAGAAGAUGAACUAUGCGUGUGUAGGGUGAAGCCAGAGGAAACUCUGGUGGAGGCUCGCAGCGGUUCUGACGUGCAAAUCG
rnacentral:misc_RNA from 1 species